rnacentral:rRNA from 1 species
AUUGAACGCUGGCGGCAGGCUUAACACGUGCAAGUCGAGCGGGGUGAUGGUGCUUGCACUAUCACUUAGCGGCGGACGGGUGAGUAAUGCUUAGGAAUCUGCCUAUUAGUGGGGGACAACAUCUCGAAAGGGAUGCUAAUACCGCAUACGUCAUACGGGAGAAAGCAGGGGAUCACUUGUGACCUUGCGCUAAUAGAUGAGCGUAAGUCGGAUUAGCUAGUUGGUGGGGUAAAGGCCUACCAAGGCGACGAUCUGUAGCGGGUCUGAGAGGAUGAUCCGCCACACUGGGACUGAGACACGGCCCAGACUCCUACGGGAGGCAGCAGUGGGGAAUAUUGGACAAUGGGGGGAACCCUGAUCCAGCCAUGCCGCGUGUGUGAAGAAGGCCUUAUGGUUGUAAAGCACUUUAAGCGAGGAGGAGGCUCUUUUGGUUAAUACCCAAGAUGAGUGGACGUUACUCGCAGAAUAAGCACCGGCUAACUCUGUGCCAGCCGCCGCAGUAA